CCUAUGAAGCUUUACUGUAGCCUGGAAUUGGGUUUGGGCUCUUUUUGCGCAGCCUAGGUGGGAGGCUUUGAAGGUUCCCUUGCGGGGGGGCUUGAGCCAUCAGUGAGAGACCACUCUAAAAGAGCUAGAAUCCUAAUGGCGUCCCUUGAAUCAGGGCGCUCGACAGUUUCAGGUGGGCAGUUUGACUGGGGCGGUCGCCUCCUAAAAGGUAACGGAGGCGUGCAAAGGUUCCCUCAGGCUGGACGGAAAUCAGCCUAAGAGUGUAAAGGCAGAAGGGAGCUUGACUGCAAGACUUACAAGUCAAGCAGGGGCGAAAGCCGGCCUUAGUGAUCCGACGGUACCCCGUGGAAGGGCCGUCGCUCAACGGAUAAAAGUUACUCUAGGGAUA
rnacentral:rRNA from 1 species